AUUGAACGCUGGCGGCAGGCCUAACACAUGCAAGUCGAGCGAGCGGCGGACGGGAGAGUAAUGUAUGGGGCUCUGCACGAUAGAGGGGGAUAACUACAGGACACCAUGGCUACUCCCGCAUACUAUCGGAUGAACCGAAAUGGGCUUAGCUAGUAGGUGGGGGAAAGGAUCAACUAGGCGACGAUCUCUAGCUGGUCUGAGAGGAUGAACAGUCACACUGGGACUGAGACACGGCCCCUACUCCUACGGGAGGCAGCAGUGGUGAAUAUUGCACAAUGGGCGAAAGCCUGAUGCAGCCAUGCCGCGUGUUUGAAGAAGGCCUUAGGGUUGUAAAGCACUUUAAGCUGGGAGGCGUUACCCACAGAAUAAGCACCGGCUAACUCCGUGCCAGCAGCCGCGGUAAUUC
rnacentral:rRNA from 1 species